CUACGGGACGCAGCAGUGGGGAAUAUUGGACAAUGGGGGAAACCCUGAUCCAGCAAUGCCGCGUGUGUGAAGAAGGCCUGCGGGUUGUAAAGCACUUUCGGUUGGGAGGACUGCUUCUAGCACUAAUAUUGUUGGAAGUUGACGUUACCUUCAGAAGAAGCACCGGCUAACUCCGUGCCAGCAGCCGCGGUAAUACGGAGGGGUGCAAGCGUUAAUCGGAAGUACUGGGCGUAAAGCGCGCGUAGGCGGCUAGAUCAGUCGGGUGUGAAAGCCCCGGGCUUAACCUGGGAACUGCAUCCGAUACUGUCUAGCUUGAGUACAGGAGAGGAGAGUGGAAUUCCACAUGUAGCGGUGAAAUGCGUAGAUAUGUGGAGGAACACCAAUGGCGAAGGCAGCUCUCUGGCCUGAUACUGACGCUGAGGUGCGAAAGCGUGGGGAGCAAACAGGAUUAGAUACCCUUGUAGUC
rnacentral:rRNA from 1 species